AUACUCGCUUUGGCAGCAUGUAUACUAAAAUUGGAACGCUACAAAGAAGAUUCGCCUGGCCCCUGUGCAAGGAUGACGUGCAAAUUCGUGAAGCAUUCUGUAUUUUU